AACUGCGAAUGGCUCAUUAAAUCAGUUAUCGUUUAUUUGAUAGUACCUUACUACUUGGAUAACCGUGGUAAUUCUAGAGCUAAUACAUGCUGAAAACCCCAACUUCGGGAGGGGUGUAUUUAUUAGAUAAAAAACCAACGCCCUUCGGGGCUUUUUGGUGAUUCAUGAUAACUUUACGGAUCGCAUGGCCUUGCGCCGGCGACGGUUCAUUCAAAUUUCUGCCCUAUCAACUUUCGAUGGUAAGGUAUUGGCUUACCAUGGUUUCAACGGGUAACGGGGAAUUAGGGUUCGAUUCCGGAGAGGGAGCCUGAGAAACGGCUACCACAUCCAAGGAAGGCAGCAGGCGCGCAAAUUACCCAAUCCCGACACGGGGAGGUAGUGACAAUAAAUACUGAUACAGGGCUCUUUUGGGUCUUGUAAUUGGAAUGAGUACAAUUUAAACCUCUUAACGAGGAACAAUUGGAGGGCAAGUCUGGUGCCAGCAGCCGCGGUAAUUCCAGCUCCAAUAGCGUAUAUUAAAGUUGUUGCAGUUAAAAAGCUCGUAGUUGAACCUUGGGUCUGGCUGGCAGGUCCGCCUCACCGCGUGUACUUGUCCGGCCGGGCCUUCCUUCUGGAGAACCUCAUGCCCUUCACUGGGCGUGUUGGGGACCAGGACUUUUACUUUGAAAAAAUUAGAGUGUUCAAAGCAGGCCUUUGCUCGAAUACGUUAGCAUGGAAUAAUAGAAUAGGACGUGCGGUCCUAUUUUGUUGGUUUCUAGGACCGCCGUAAUGAUUAAUAGGGACAGUCGGGGGCAUCAGUAUUCAAUUGUCAGAGGUGAAAUUCUUGGAUUUAUUGAAGACUAACUACUGCGAAAGCAUUUGCCAAGGAUGUUUUCAUUAAUCAGUGAACGAAAGUUAGGGGAUCGAAGACGAUCAGAUACCGUCGUAGUCUUAACCGUAAACUAUGCCGACUAGGGAUCGGGCGAUGUUCUUUUUCUGACUCGCUCGGCACCUUACGAGAAAUCAAAGUUU
rnacentral:rRNA from 1 species